rnacentral:rRNA from 1 species
GGCGGCGUGCCUAAUACAUGCAAGUCGAACGAAACUUCUUUAUCACCGAGUGCUUGCACUCACCGAUAAAGAGUUGAGUGGCGAACGGGUGAGUAACACGUGGGCAACCCGCCCAAAAGAGGGGGAUAACACUUGGAAACAGGUGCUAAUACCGCAUAACCAUAGUUACCGCAUGGUAACUAUGUAAAAGGUGGCUAUGCUACCGCUUUUGGAUGGGCCCGCGGCGCAUUAGCUAGUUGGUGGGGUAAAGGCUUACCAAGGCAAUGAUGCGUAGCCGAACUGAGAGGUUGAUCGGCCACAUUGGGACUGAGACACGGCCCAAACUCCUACGGGAGGCAGCAGUAGGGAAUCUUCCACAAUGGGCGAAAGCCUGAUGGAGCAACGCCGCGUGGGUGAAGAAGGUCUUCGGAUCGUAAAACCCUGUUGUUAGAGAAGAAAGUGCGUGAGAGUAACUGUUCACGUUUCGACGGUAUCUAACCAGAAAGCCACGGCUAACUACGUGCCAGCAGCCGCGGUAAUACGUAGGUGGUAAGCGUUAUCCGGAUUUAUUGGGCGUAAAGGGAACGCAGGCGGUCUUUUAAGUCUGAUGUGAAAGCCUUCGGCUUAACCGGAGUAGUGCAUUGGAAACUGGGAGACUUGAGUGCAGAAGAGGAGAGUGGAACUCCAUGUGUAGCGGUGAAAUGCGUAGAUAUAUGGAAGAACACCCAGUGGCGAAAGCGGCUCUCUGGUCUGUAACUGACGCUGAGGUUCGAAAGCGUGGGUAGCA